GAUGAACGCUGGCGGCGUGCCUAACACAUGCAAGUCGAGCGAGAAGGUUGUAAUUGAUUCUUCGGAAGAUUUUAUAACUGGACAGCGGCGGACGGGUGAGUAACGCGUGGGCAACCUGCCUUGUACUGGGGGAUAACAUUCUGAAAAGGAUGCUAAUACCGCAUAAGCGCACAGUAUCGCAUGAUACAGUGUGAAAAACUCCGGUGGUACAAGAUGGGCCCGCGUCUGAUUAGCUAGUUGGUGAGAUAAAAGCUCACCAAGGCGACGAUCAGUAGCCGACCUGAGAGGGUGAUCGGCCACAUUGGGACUGAGACACGGCCCAAACUCCUACGGGAGGCAGCAGUGGGGAAUAUUGCACAAUGGGGGAAACCCUGAUGCAGCGACGCCGCGUGAAGGAUGAAGGUUUUCGGAUCGUAAACUUCUAUCAGCAGGGAAGAUAGUGACUGUACCUGACUAAGAAGCCCCGGCUAACUACG
rnacentral:rRNA from 1 species